CUGUAUGUAUACCAUAGGUACUGUAUGUACACCAUAGGUACUGUAUGUAUACCAUAGGUACUGUAUGUACACCAUAGGUACUGUAUGUAUACCAUAGGUACUGUAUGUACACCAUAGGUACUGUAUGUACACCAUAGGUACUGUAUGUACACCAUAGGUACUGUAUGUAUACCAUAGGUACUGUAUGUACACCAUAGGUACUGUAUGUACACCAUAGGUACUGUAUGUAUACCAUAGGUACUGUAUGUACACCAUAGGUACUGUAUGUACACCAUAGGUACUGUAUGUAUACCAUAGGUACUGUAUGUACACCAUAGGUACUGUAUGUACACCAUAGGUACUGUAUGUACACCAUAGGUACUGUAUGUAUACCAUAGGUACUGUAUGUACACCAUAGGUACUGUAUGUACACCAUAGGUACUGUAUGUAUACCAUAGGUACUGUAUGUACACCAUAGGUACUGUAUGUAUACCAUAGGUACUGUAUGUACACCAUAGGUACUGUAUGUAUACCAUAGGUACUGUAUGUACACCAUAGGUACUGUAUGUACACCAUAGGUACUGUAUGUAUACCAUAGGUACUGUAUGUAUACCAUAGGUACUGUAUGUAUACCAUAGGUACUGUAUGUACACCAUAGGUACUGUAUGUACACCAUAGGUACUGUAUGUACACCAUAGGUACUGUAUGUAUACCAUAGGUACUGUAUGUACACCAUAGGUACUGUAUGUACACCAUAGGUACUGUAUGUAUAACAUAGGUACUGUAUGUACACCAUAGGUACUGUAUGUACACCAUAGGUACUGUAUGUACACCAUAGGUACUGUAUGUAUACCAUAGGUACUGUAUGUACACCAUAGGUACUGUAUGUACACCAUAGGUACUGUUUGUACACCAUACGUUGGUUGUUGAUGCAGUACUGGUAUACAUUUUUAUUUCUGUGCUUUUUUUCUAGUGAGAUUGUCAUUGGUCUUGAGCUCACCGACGAGUGUGUGUGCCUUGCUGAUGUAGUAUCUGUGCUGCUGCUGCUGUGGUGGUGACAUCAUCACUAAGGGCCUGGCUGUAACCCUUACUGUUCAUCCUCUCUGCUAGAGUGGUUUCUUAAGUGUGAAGGAUCACUAAGAAGAGCUCCCCGGUUGGGUUUAGGUUGUGUAUGAAAUGGCACCCCGAAGUAGUGCACUAUAUAUUCGAGCCCUCAAACUCAACUCUGUAGUGCACUAUAUAUUAGGGCCCUCAAACUCAACUCUGGACCUCAGAGCCAGUUCCAAUGCAUUUUUGCAUUGUUCCCCUCUAAUCGGGGACUGAUUUAGACCUGGGACACCGGGUGGGUGAUUCCCCUCUAACCAGGGCCUGAUUUAGACCUGGGACAACAGGUGGGUGAUUCCCCUCUAACCAGGGACUGAUUUAGACCUGGGACACCAGGUGGGUGAUUCUCCUCUAAUCAGGGCCUGAUUUAGACCUGGGACAACAGGUGGGUGAUUCCCCUCUAACCAGGGCCUGAUUUAAACCUGGGACAACAGGUGGGUGAUUCCCCUCUAACCAGGGACUGAUUUAGACCUGGGACACCAGGUGGGUGAUUCCCCUCUAAUCAGGGCCUGAUUUAGACCUGGGACACCAGGUGGGUGAUUCUCCUCUAAUCAGGGCCUUAUUUAGACCUGGGACACCAGGUGGGGUGAUAUUAAUUAUUAGUUAGAACAGAAAAGCAGACUACCUCAUAGGGGUCAGAGUUGAAUACCCCUGGGAAUAGGGUACCAUUUUAGACCCUGGUUCGUUGUUGCUGUUUUUUUGCUCUGAAAACAGACCUGUUAUUGAUAGUAUUAUCGGCCUUGGAGACUAAAGCGAAAAUACACAUUCUCUUUCUCUCUGAACAAGUUGACUUGACAAUCUUCAAUAAAAAUAAAAAAAAUCAAUGAUGAGGCAAUAACCAUUGUCAAUGUUUCAAUAACCUCAGAAAUACUGAGGGCUGAGUGAGGCUGUCGAACUGUAGAUGUCUCUGUCUAUUCUGUAUGUAUCUCUACACCUGUCUGUCUCAUGUUGUUUUCUCUCUGCAUUUUAAAUGGCACCCUCUUCACUAUUUAGUGCACUACUUUUGACCAGUGCCCUGCUCAACAGUAGUGCACUAUAUAGGGAAUAUAAUGCCAAUGGGCCCUGGUCAAACGUAGUGCACUAUAUAGGGAAUAUAAUGCCAAUGGGCCCUGGUCAAACGUAGUGCACUAUAUAGGGAAUAUUGUGCUAUUUGGGAUGCAUCCCUUUGUCUCCUUCCUACCGUAUGUGUCAGUACUUUCCUUACGGUCUAGUUAAGACCGAUAGGCCAAAGGUCCUUACAAUAACAGUGUUAUUAGAAGCACAACUUAAAUUAGAGCCCGAACAGUGUUCAGUGUAAAGACAGUACAGUAGAACACCUGGUACGGAGUACAGUAGAACACCUGGUACGGAGUACAGUAGAACACCUGGUACGGAGUACAGUAGAACACCUGGUACGGAGUACAGUAGGAACACCUGGUUCGGAGUACAGUAGAACACCUGGUACGGAGUACAGUAGAACACCUGGUUCGGAGUACAGUAGAACACCUGGUACGGAGUACAGUAGGAACACCUGGUUCGGAGUACAGUAGAACACCUGGUACGGAGUACAGUAGAACACCUGGUACGGAGUACAGUAGAACACCUGGUACGGGGUACAGUAGGAACACCUGGUACGGAGUACAGUAGAACACCUGGUACGGAGUACAGUAGAACACCUGGUACGGAGUACAGUAGAACACCUGGUACGGGGUACAGUAGAACACCUGGUACGGGGUACAGUAGAACACCUGGUACGGAGUAUAGCUGCAGCUGUUUUUGUGGUUGUCCAAGGUAAUCCAGUGGUCUGUAAUCUCUCCCUAUUCUUUUUGUAGUACUAGUUGAAAGUAGUGUACUGUGUAGGAGAUAGGGGGGACAUUUGGGAGGAACUUUAACCCAGGAUUUGCUGCUGUGAUGGUUUUGACUGGUUUUUAAUUUAUUUUAACUAUUUAUUUGUCUGAGGUAUUUGAGCCUCAGUGAGGACUGUACAGACAAUGUUUACCUGUGUUGGUUUGUGUUCCACCACAGAAUUUGAAUAAAUUAUGAUUCCAGAAUUAGAAUUCUAAUUCUGUGGUUUCCACCCUG